CAGUAGCCGCGGUAAUACGUAGGGUGCAAGCGUUAAUCGGAAUUACUGGGCGUAAAGCGUGCGCAGGCGGUUCUAUAAGACAGAUGUGAAAUCCCCGGGCUCAACCUUGGAACUGCAUUUGUGACUGUAGAGCUGGAGUGCGGCAGAGGGGGAUGGAAUUCCGCGUGUAGCAGUGAAAUGCGUAGAUAUGCGGAGGAACACCGAUGGCGAAGGCAAUCCCCUGGGCCUGCACUGACGCUCAUGCGCGAAAGCGUGGGGAGCAAACAGGAUUAGAGACCCCCGUAGUCCCUGUCUCUUAUAC
rnacentral:rRNA from 1 species